GGGGUUUGACGUGUAUCUGAAGAGUGUAGAAAUACAUUUCGUUCUUCGGAACAGAUACAUCAGGUGCUGCAUGGCUGUCGUCAGUUCGUGCCGUGAGGUGUCGGGUUAAGUCCUUCAACGAGCGCAACCCCUAUCUGUAGUUGCCAUCAGGUAAUGCUGGGCACUCUGCAGAAACUGCCGGUGACAAACCGGAGGAAGGUGGGGACGACGUCAAGUCAUCAUGGCCCUUAUGUCCCGGGCUGCAAACGUGCUACAAUGGCCGGCACAAAGAGAAGCGAUACCGCAAGGUGGGGCAAAUCUCAAAAAACCGGUCUCAGUUCGGAUUGCAGUCUGCAACUCGACUGCAUGAAGU
rnacentral:rRNA from 1 species